GCCACAAUAAAAAUAAAUGAGAAGAGAACAAUAGAAACAACAACACUCCCACAUCUUUCGAACAGUAGAAACAACAACACUCCAUAUGUUUCUAAGAUCAACCAAUUCACUCCAACACUUCCUUUACUCUCAAUUGAAUAACCUAACCAAGUUAGACAAACAGAACCAUAAGCCUUAACCUACUACUCCAUCCUUAAGAAACAACCCCUGUCGAAACUGAACCACAAUAAUACCAAAAGGGGUAGUUUCCUACAAUGUCAAAAGUGUUUUCUUAAUAACAAUAUCCGAUACACACUCGCUCACCUUGACUAAUUCCACUCUACCACCCACCAAU
rnacentral:misc_RNA from 1 species